UUGAAAGGGAAACGAUUGAAGUCAGUCAUACCAACGGGAAAUCAACCUUUUGGGCUCGAUCUCGUGGGUUUUGAAGAGUUUCAAAGCCUUCGGAUUCGCGAGAUUGGGAUCUCUUGGUGUACUUUUUCGUACGGUUAGUCAACAUCGGUUUUGAAUGUCAUAAGAUGACUGGAGGAAUGUAGCUUCGAUCUCGUAUUGAAGUGUUAUAGCCUUUGGUAGAUGUGAUGUUUGAGACCGAGGAUUGCAACGGAUACCCUUCAGGGGCUAUUCGUCUGAUCUCUGAUACGUUGCCUUGAUGUUGAAAGCCUGCUUAUGAUGUUAGGGUAUUACGGUCAAAAGGUUAGAACGGACUAGAUUCGUUAAGGAUGUUGACGUA
rnacentral:rRNA from 1 species